GUUUCUGCACCUACCAUGGUGACCACGAGAAAAGGGACCCUGAGAAACGGCUACCACAUGCAAGGAAGGCAGCAGGUGCGCAAAUGACCCACUCCCGACGCGGGAAGGUAGUGAUGAC